UCUUUCAGAUGAAACUGAAGGCUCAGUGGGUCUCUAAGAAAAGGGAAUUGCUACAGUGCUUGAGGACACCUUCCUUGGAAGAGUGUAAUGCUGAUCUUCCCUUAAGCAUUGAUGUUGUCUGCCUAUAGACAUCACUGACAAUGGCACUUUGGGUACUGGGGUAAGAGAUGGUACCAUUUGUUCUGUGUUUAUGAAGCAUUGGAGACAUAAGUGUUCAUGCUCCUGAAGUUGAAUGGCGCUCUAGGUAUCUCUUGGACCUGAGCCACCAGAGCAGGAGAGAUGCCCCUAUGAGUCUGAUUGAUUCAGUGUCUGAAGACACUUUGUACCAUGAGGAUCCUCUUCCCUAAGCCAAAGUCUGUCAAAGUCAAUUCCAACAGCUGAUGAGAUCAGGAACAACAUUGAGUGUACCUCCCUCUCCCAUUUGCAUUCAGCAAAGACUCAAUUUGCGAUUCGUUACAAAAGGUUCAUGGAGUCUUGGUGCAAUAGUAAACUGCAAAACUUCCAAGCUCUCAUCAUUAGAUGAAACACUCAGACCUCCAGAUUCACCUCCAUUCUAUUGUUUUACUGUUCUAAAUGAACAGUCUAAUUUACUACAAAUCUGUGAAAGAGUGUGAAGCUGCUUCAUGCCUGGGAACAAAAAAGAUGAAGUAGGGGGUAAUUAACAAAAUGAAAGAAUGCCACAUGGCCCUGCGUUUUACUUUAUUUCACUGCUACCAGCUCUUUGUAAACCUUGAUUAGGCAGACAGCAUGUUUACACAGCCCAGGCAGCAUGUUCCUACAUGAGAAAGCAGGUUUUUUUUUAAUUAAACACACUCCUUUUUCAUAGUCUGCUGCAAUUUACAGUGUUGUUAAUUCUCUUUUAUACUGAACUUAUCUCUUUUUUCAAUCGAGCUUUUCUUCUCAAAUUCAUUAUGUUCUCUGUAGUAUUUACCUUGUGCUGGUUGACAAGAUCAGUGUCAAAUUAAAGUUCCUUAGAUUUCCAUACAAACUCUGGUUUUGGUUAGAUUUCAUAUCAGUACCCUGGCCAUUUUGCUCUUUAGCUACUGCAACAAGGAAUAUUUAAUCAAUUAAGUAGCAUCAAAACAUGACAAAUUACAAACUUCUUAGUAUAGACUACUACAAUUUAAGCCAGCUGUUCAAUUAAACUAUGAAUAGAAUCCUCAAUUUUUUUAUUCUCCUGAAAUUGGAAAGAAACACCCUGAAAGUUCUUCUCAAUCCCACAAAGUUAUUAAGUAAGGAAGAUAUAAUAAACAAGCUUCCUUCCUUAAGGAAGAUAUAACA
rnacentral:lncRNA from 1 species